AUUGAACGCUGGCGGCAGGCCUAACACAUGCAAGUCGAGCGAGCGGCGGACGGGUGAGUAAUGUCUGGGAAACUGCCUGAUGGAGGGGGAUAACUACUGGAAACGGUAGCUAAUACCGCAUACCAUCAGAUGUGCCCAUAUGGGAUUAGCUAGUAGGUGGGGUAACGGCUCACCUAGGCGACGAUCCCUAGCUGGUCUGAGAGGAUGACCAGCCACACUGGGACUGAGACACGGUCCAGACUCCUACGGGAGGCAGCAGUGGGGAAUAGUGCACAAUGGGCGCAAGCCUGAUGCAGCCAUGCCGCGUGUAUGAAGAAGGCCUUAGGGUUGUAAAGCACUUUCAGCCGGGAGGCGUUACCCGCAGAAGAAGCACCGGCUAACUCCGUGCCAGCAGCCGCGGUAAUAC
rnacentral:rRNA from 1 species